CCUACGGGGUGCAGCAGUGGGGAAUAUUGGACAAUGGGCGAAAGCCUGAUCCAGCCAUGCCGCGUGUGUGAAGAAGGCCUUCGGGUUGUAAAGCACUUUCAGUGGGGAAGAAAGCCUUGGGGCUAAUACCCUCGAGGAAGGACAUCACCCACAGAAGAAGCACCGGCUAACUCCGUGCCAAGCAGCCGCGGUAAUACGGAGGGUGCGAGCGUUAAUCGGAAUUACUGGGCGUAAAGCGCGCGUAGGCGGUCUGAUAAGCCGGUUGUGAAAGCCCCGGGCUCAACCUGGGAACGGCAUCCGGAACUGUCAGGCUAGAGUGCAGGAGAGGAAGGUAGAAUUCCCGGUGUAGCGGUGAAAUGCGUAGAGAUCGGGAGGAAUACCAGUGGCGAAGGCGGCCUUCUGGACUGACACUGACGCUGAGGUGCGAAAGCGUGGGUAGCAAACAGGAUUAGAUACCCCGGUAGUC
rnacentral:rRNA from 1 species